rnacentral:rRNA from 1 species
UACGUAGGGUGCAAGCGUUGUCCGGAAUUAUUGGGCGUAAAGAGCUUGUAGGCGGUUUGUCGCGUCUGCUGUGAAAUUUCGGGGCUCAACCCCGAACUUGCAGUGGGUACGGGCAGACUAGAGUGUGGUAGGGGAGACUGGAAUUCCUGGUGUAGAGGUGAAAUGCGCAGAUAUCAGGAGGAACACCGAUGGCGAAGGCAGGUCUCUGGGCCACUACUGACGCUGAGAAGCGAAAGCAUGGGGAGCGAACAGG